rnacentral:rRNA from 1 species
UUUUUUAAUUGAAAACUUGUAUGAAGGGUUGAAUGAAAUAUAGGCUAUUUUAUAAAAAUUUAAUUAAAACUUUAUUUUUUAGUCAAAAAGCUAAAAUAUGAUUAUAGGACGAGAAGACCCUAUAGAAUUUUAUAAUUAAAAAUUAUUAUUUAUAAAGAAUAAUUUAAAUUUUAAUAAAUUAAUUAUUUUAUUGGGGUGAUUUUAUAAUUUAUUAAACUUAUAUAAUUAUAAACAUUAAUUUAUGAUCUAUUGAUCUUUUUUUAGGGAUUAAAAGAUUAAAUUACCUUAGGGAUAACAGCGUAAUUUUAUUUUUAAGUUCUUAUUUAUAAUAAAGAUUGC